rnacentral:rRNA from 1 species
CUGGUGGGUAGUUUGACUGGGGCGGUCUCCUCCCAAAGAGUAACGGAGGAGCACGAAGGUGGGCUAAUCACGGUUGGACAUCGUGAGGUUAGUGCAAUGGCAUAAGCCCGCUUAACUGCGAGAAUGACGGUUCGAGCAGGUGCGAAAGCAGGUCAUAGUGAUCCGGUGGUUCUGUAUGGAAGGGCCAUCGCUCAACGGAUAAAAGGUACUCCGGGGAUAACAGGCUGAUACCGCCCAAGAGUUCAUAUCGACGGCGGUGUUUGGCACCUCGAUGUCGGCUCAUCACAUCCUGGGGCUGAAGUCGGUCCCAAGGGUAUGGCUGUUCGCCAUUUAAAGUGGUACGCGAGCUGGGUUUAGAACGUCGUGAGACAGUUCGGUCCCUAUCUGCCGUGGGCGUUGGAAGAUUGAAGGGGGCUGCUCCUAGUACGAGAGGACCGGAGUGGACGAACCUCUGGUGUUCGGGUUGUGUCGCCAGACGCAUUGCCCGGUAGCUAAGUUCGGAAUCGAUAACCGCUGAAAGCAUCUAAGCGGGAAGCGAGCCCUGAGAUGAGUCUUCCCUGACAGUUUAACUGUCCUAAAGGGUUGUUCGAGACUAGAACGUUGAUAGGCAGGGUGUGUAAGCGUUGUGAGGCGUUGAGCUAACCUGUACUAAUUGCCCGUGAGGCUUAACCAU